rnacentral:rRNA from 1 species
GCGGCCUAUCAGCUUGUUGGUGAGGUAAUGGCUCACCAAGGCGACGACGGGUAGCCGGCCUGAGAGGGCGACCGGCCACACUGGGACUGAGACACGGCCCAGACUCCUACGGGAGGCAGCAGUGGGGAAUAUUGGGCAAUGGAGGGAACUCUGACCCAGCGACGCCGCGUGCGGGAUGAAGGCCUUCGGGUUGUAAACCGCUUUCAGCANGGAAGAANCGAAAGUGACGGUACUUGCAGAAGAAGCACCGGCUAACUAUGUGCCAGCAGCCGCGGUAAUACAUAGGGUGCAAGCGUUGUCCGGAAUUAUUGGGCGUAAAGAGCUCGUAGGUGGUUCGUCACGUCGGAUGUGAAAAUCUGGGGCUCAACCCCAGACCUGCAUUCGAUACGGGCGAGCUAGAGUUUGGUAGGGGAGACUGGAAUUCC